ACCGUCACACUCAGUCGCUGCAGCCAGGCAGCCAGGCGGAGAGGGAGCUCCGCUUUCUGCAAACUACACACACAAACCUGGGGAUGCAGCUCCAUCCAAGAGGACACUACUCACUGGAGCUGAAAGGAAGACAGCCAGGGACAAUAGCAACAGCUGCCGACUGCUCCUGACUGAACAUCGAGAACGAUUUUUACCCAGAAUCUUUGGACCUUUGUGUAUGCAUUUACUACCAUCCCAGAUGUGACAACACUCGUAGGAUUAUUGGAAUCCACCAGGAUGGCUGGAUCUGUGGAUUUAUUUUCAAGAUAAUGGAUUAUUUUGACCUCUUUCUUUUCUUUCCUCGCUGUCCCACACACACACACUUGGAUGCUCCCCUGCACGGUUGGGAACACUGAUGCGAUAUUGAGUUAAGAUGAUGGGAAUCACAGAUUCAAAGCACUUGCAGCUCACAAGGGACUAUUGGCUCUGCUGAUGGAAAAUUAUUGCGGGACUUUGCUCGGAUUGUUGGGAGUUGGACCGUUUUCAUUUGGAGGUGUUUUGGGGUGUAUUCUUGUAUCAGGAACAUGGAAAUAUCAUGGUCAGGAUCAUAUAGCGUGGAGAUGUGCAUUGUGGUUUCUAUCUGGUAUUAUGCGGAUGGCUGUUAGGAAAUUAUUACCUCUUUUCCCCCUCCCCCCAAAAAAACCUGGAAUAUGUUGCACGCUUUUGGAAUGCCCUUGCCAUAUGGAUUAACGUCGCCAUUGAGUGGGAUAGAUGGAACUCCGAGGAUAUUAUAUCCAGAUGAUGUAUUGAAGACCCUGGGAUGUAUUAGAGGAGACGAUGUGGAUUUAAUUCUCAGUAGGAUAAUGUGGAUUGUUACUACGUUUUGCUUUGGUGUUGUUUAAAAGGUAUAUUUCUGCAUGACCUCAAAUAAAGUGACCGAACACACCAGAUGAUAUAGCUAUUCCAUGUACCACCACCCAAUACCUGAUGAUCAAUAGACUGCUUAUUCCUAACCUCAGUAUUGGAGCUACAAGCUGUCAAAUGUGACAUCGUGAGCAACGUCCGCUCAGCACGGAAGGCUGAAACUCCAUAUUCUCUGAGAAAUCUAAACAAGACACCAAGACAAUGUCAAAAAUCAGUGCAUCAUUUCAACAACUCUUCAUUUUGGCCUGCAUCUGCACAGUUCCACCAAUGUUGGAGCUUAAUUUGGCAUUGGACACCAUUUCUGAUAUAAUUCCGAAAGUAAUCUGCAAGUAAGGAAGAUUGCUGAAAAAGUGGGGGAAAAUACCACAUGGACAAAAUAAUUUUUAUGUCAUUAGAUCUCAGUGAGGGACCUCUUGAAUGGAUUUCUACAGUUCAAAAUUUGACAGUUGUUUUGUGUAACUUGUCUAAUGCUGAGGUUGCCAGAUUAAACCUUCUGUAUGAAUAUUAUUCAAAUGUGUCUGAAGAAUUUUUGUCAAAUAAAUAGGUAAUAUUUAUAAGUAUGCUAAGGGCAUUGUGUUGUAAAUUCUUAAUGGUUGUGGAAUCUCCAAUUUGGACUUGAUAUUAGAUUAGAUUAGAUUAGACUUACAGUGUGGAAACAGGCCCUUCGGCCCAACAAGUCCACACCGACCCGCCGAAGCGCAACCCACCCAUACAUUUACCCCUUACCUAACACUACGGGCAAUUUAGCUUGGCCAAUUCACCUGACCCGCACAUCUUUGGACUGUGGGAGGAAACCGGAGCACCCGGAGGAAACCCACGCAGACACGGGGAGAACGUGCAAACUCCACACAGUCAGUCGCCUGAGUCGGGAAUUGAACCCGGGUCUACAGGCGCUGUGAGGCAGCAGUGCUAACCACUGUGCCAUAUCUUUGAGAUUUUUUAUUGUCCUUUUUAAUGUAGUGAAUAAUAGGAUUUAGUGAGCAUUUUAAAAGUUUUGCUCUAUAAAUAAAAUGAAUUAACUGGCUUUGUAUACUUGUGUUUUCUUAUAAAACAAAUUUUUAUCUUGUAGUAGUUGUGUUCAAUUUUAUCUAUUUAUUAAGAGUGUGCGUCCAAAUAAUUAUGAUUACACAGUAGAUUGUCUUCCCUUUUAAAUCACUAUCUAUUUGAAAUGCUUGAACCCUUUAAUUUAGACAGGUUUUAAAAUGACCUAUCAUAAAGGACUUCUGUAACUGCUAAAGAAAGCUACGUCUUUUAUCGACAUUCACAUCUCCACUAAUGUUAAAUCAAAUUGCCUUGGAGCACUUUAGACAAAGUUACUUUGUGAUGUGCAAUAACAGCUGUUACAUCAUAGAAAAAAAAUUGAUAACCCGUGAAAGAUUCCUUCAAAUAUGUGAAUUUAUUUCAAUAGAAUUCUUGGUUCAGGAUGUACAGUAUCUGUCUAUAAUUUCUUCUGCAUUAUCUAUAUGUUAUCCUACAAAAGGAAAUUAGUGUUAGACAGCAAUUUAUUAAAGGUUUUAAACACACUAAAAAUCAAAAGCUGAAUUCAGCAAUAUAAAACCUAACUCAGUUCUAUGACUUGCUGCCAAUACAUUUCAUUCAAAAUGGAGGCUGGGGGCUAUAUGUGAUUUCAUACAGAUAUUGACAGAUAAAAAUUUAUUACCCUCUCAAUUCGUAUGUUCUUCCUUUUCAGCUAUGCCCUAACAUGACCAACCAAGUAAUAUACAUAACCAAGUUUUAGUCACUAAAGCGAACUGACUUGUUGCAAAAUAAAAGAACUACUGACAAUCAUUGCAACCUUAAAAUAGUUGUUUCUGUUUGUUUUGAGUGACUACAGAAGCAAUGUUUCAUCAUGUAUUUAAAACAUGUGAAGUAAUUUGCUGUGAACCUUUCAUUUUUAUUUUGU